rnacentral:rRNA from 1 species
UACGUAGGUGGCAAGCGUUGUCCGGAAUUAUUGGGCGUAAAGCGCGCGCAGGCGGUCCUUUAAGUCUGAUGUGAAAUCCCGUGGCUUAACCACGGGCGGUCAUUGGAAACUGGGGGACUUGAGUGCAGAAGAGAAGAGCGGAAUUCCACGUGUAGCGGUGAAAUGCGUAGAGAUGUGGAGGAACACCAGUGGCGAAGGCGGCUCUUUGGUCUGUAACUGACGCUGAGGCGCGAAAGCGUGGGGAUCAAACAGG